CCCAAAACCUUAUUUAAACUUCUUGAUUAGACUUUGAGGUACAUUUGGUCAGUUUGGUGGGUGUGGUUUGAAGCAAUGAGCGACGUCUUUAAAAAGGCAGCGGAGAGUUCCCCAACCCCUCGCCGUUUUUCAACUGAUCCCACAGAACACCACCGUUUCCUUUAAUUGAACGUUGUAGUACGUUUUUUCGUGACAGCACUGAGCCCUGUCACAACAAAUUAAUUACUUAAUGGCUACUUUUAUUCAUUAAUUUAUGAAAACGCUCUAGAGAUGAGGUUCCUCUGACAUGUUACUUGCCUACAUAUACAUUUGCUUCAAGUUUAAAACGGUUUCAUGUCGCCUGGCUCUGGCUUGCAAUGGGGCGCUAAACUGAAAAGAAAACAGGUGCAUUAAUUGGCUAUUUAAAAAGUGUUCUCGCUGUGGCUGGGCGUUUGCGCUCACUCACCUUUUGUUGCCUGCGUGCCAUAUCCGUGGGUUGUUUGGCAUUGAAAGGGUGGUCGUUUCUUAUGUUUACCUCCUUGACCCAAGGAAGUCGGGGGGUCUUUUGGAAAUUGAGUAUCCUCGUUAAUUUCUCCCCCCGAGUCUUCGCUGGAGGAUGGGUCUAACAUGUUUCGCACCAACACAGCAGCUUCUCCCUUGGUGAGCAGGAUGCAGUUCCAGGGACUCCACUCCCACUGGCAAUCCCACCUCACCAUUACCAAGUCAUGCAUGUCGCUCCACGCACUGAGGGCCGACUGGGCCCCCCACACUACAUCUACAAGUCUUGCGGAGCCUCCUGAGGAUGGUCUUGUAGUGGGAGAAGUCCUCGCGGCGGCGAGCCUCGUUGUCCAGCUCCGAACAACUGCGACACUUGCCUACCAGGCGAGCAUUGGCCGUAAGUGCAAAGUCAGUGGAAAGCAGGUAGCGGCUGCAGCCACGGCAGAAGUAGAUGUUCUUCCUCAACUGGGCUGGGUCCUGGGGGACCUGAAGGAGGAAUGAGUGGGAUGGAGAGGAGGGCCAGACGCAGCUCCCUGUCCUGCCUCAGCUGGUCCGUCAUCCGCUUGGCCUGCCAGCGCCGCGUGUACAUCUGCAGAGUGAUCACCUAUAGGUGGGGGUAAAGGUGUGAGCACAGAG